UGUCGUGCAAUGCAGUAGGUCGGCCACAAGCCCAGCGGUAGACAUUUUCUAAUGUAUUACGCUCCUGUAAGACAGUGGUAUGCCAAUCACUAAAUUCCAUAUUCUUCUCGAGAUGUGCUCGAAUGCAGUUGUCGUUGUUUCCCAACUGAAUAAGUUUGUUAGAAAUCCUAGUAAUAUGCCCUAUAUUACCUACUCGGGGUGCUUGUUUUCCAGUAGCUGGUAAGGUGGGCUGAUUUCCAUCACCAGAAACUGUAGGCUGUUUAUCUGUUUGGAUAAUUUUCCCAAUCAAAUUGCACUCCUCAAAAAGAUGGUCAACGAUUGUGUUGGUCUUACUUUCCAAGCAUGAGUAUAUUAUACUCUCCACAUGAUGAUGUAAUGCAUUGUUAUAAGGGUACUCAAAAAAUAGAUUCAGG
rnacentral:misc_RNA from 1 species